UACGUAGGGUGCGAGCGUUAAUCGGAAUUACUGGGCGUAAAGCGUGCGCAGGCGGUUUGUUAAGACAGAUGUGAAAUCCCCCGGGCUUAACCUGGGAACUGCAUUUGUGACUGGCAAGCUAGAGUAUGGCAGAGGGGGGUAGAAUUCCACGGUGUAGCAGUGAAAUGCGUAGAGAUGUGGAGGAAUACCGAUGGCGAAGGCAGCCCCCUGGGCCAAUACUGACGCUCAUGCACGAAAGCGUGGGGAGCAAACAGG
rnacentral:rRNA from 1 species